AUUGAACGCUGGCGGCAGGCUUAACACAUGCAAGUCGAGCGAGUGGCGGACGGGUGAGUAAUGUCUCGGAAACUGCCUGAUGGAGGGGGAUAACUACUGGAAACGGUAGCUAAUACCGCAUACCAUCAGAUGUGCCCAGAUGGGAUUAGCUAGUAGGUGGGGUAAUGGCUCACCUAGGCGACGAUCGCUAGCUGGUCUGAGAGGAUGACCAGCCACACUGGAACUGAGACACUGUCCAGACUCCUACGGGAGGCAGCAGUGGGGAAUUUUGCACAAUGGGCGCAAGCCUGAUGCAGCCAUGCCGCGUGUGUGAAGAAGGCCUUCGGGUUGUAAAGCACUUUCGUCAGGGAGGCGUUACCUGCAGAAGAAGCACCGGCUAACUACGUGCCAGCAGCCGCGGUAAUAC
rnacentral:rRNA from 1 species